UGAGUACAGCUAAAUUUUCUCACUCCUUGCACCAUCACAUGCAAAGACAUGCCAGAAGCAGAAAAAAGAACUUGCUUCACUUAACAAAUCUCUGUUGUUAUAUCAUCUUUUGGGAAGAGAGCUACUUCAAACUCUGGUAAGGAAAACAUUGGCACAGAAAUGGAAUGUGGGAAUAAUAACUGACUGCCCAGUGAAUUUCCACCUCUUUCUCACUGGUUAUCUCUUUUUUACUUGAUGAGGCAACAGAAUUAUGUGUCAUCUCUUACUCAUGAAGAAACUUCAAAUUUUAACAUUGACAUUCAUUAGUAGGAAUCUCUCUACAUUUGCCAACAGUAUCCAGAAGAGUAAGAGAGCAGCUGGAUUGGUGCAUUGCCUAUGUUUUGCCCUUUCUUAAAUGUGGCUUUUCAGAGGUAUCACCAACUUGGCUGAAGGGCUCAGCCAUGCCCUUCCAUGGGUCUGUUGGAGCCAGCUGUGUCCAGCAUGGUGCAGAUCUAAAGACUCCUUGCUUCCAGCACCUGGGCACCCAGUAAACACUAUGAUGGUUGUGCAGUUGAGAAUAGGAGAAGAUCUGGAGAGGAACUUUUGUGUUGACAGCUGACCUAUUUUUCCCACCCAUAGCCACCUAGUAAAACCAGAAUUUUUUCCUAUUUAUGAAAUAAAAAAUAUCAUUCCAGAAUUCCUAUAUUCAGAGGCAGCUGAAGAAUUUCUAAAGUAAAAGGUAUUUCUGGUUUAGUAAUUUGAUCAACUCAUCAGAAAGAUAACACUUAUAUCUUGUUAACAGUAUUUAAGAAGCAAGUAAAAAUAUGAAAACUAUCAUGUCCUGUAUAGCUAUAAUUGGAAUAAAGUAAUUCAUAAAGUUGGGACUGAUUUCAGUAACUUAAUGUGUGUAUUUAUAAGAAUUAUUUAACUAUAUUAUUUUAUAUGUUAUUUUAUAUAUAUAGCUAUAAUAUAUAUAACUUUAUUAUUUUAUAUUUUAACUAUAUUAUUUUAUAUGCACAGUCUUUCAGAUAAUAUUUUUUUCUUGUUUGAAGUAAUAAACUAUCAUUCUCUUGUACAGCUGGUCCAUCCUGCAGGUGUUCUAUUCUUAUAGACUAUAUUUUUAAAAUAAUGACUAGAAAGUGAAUUAAGAUUGGCUAUUGUUUUUAGACAUAAUAAUCUAUCUGGUACUAAAGGUAAAAGCGAUUUUCUCAACUAAUGUCAGGUCUUGAACCCUUCACACUAGUGGGUUUUACACUUAUGAGGUGUGUGUGUGCGUGUGUAUGUGUAUGAGCACCUUCUGACAACAUAGAGCUUUUACUGCUCCCUAAAUCUUGAAACUGCUUCCAAUUCUAUAAUUAUGAUUUAUUUAAAAUAAUCUGUAUAAUUCAGUUUUAUGAUAGAGAAGUCUGAGUUUUACCUUAAAAUUGCAAAUGUAUCUUUUAUUUUCUUCUCCACUUUCAUUCAUUAACAAUGAGAAAUGGUCGGAGACCUGGGAAAGUUCUGAAAAUAUCUCUGUAGAGUCAAUGGAACAUCAGUGUUAUGUUGUGGGUCAUUGUGCUCCACACCUAUGGUAAGUCUACUCCAAAUAGAAUAGACUGAUGUUCAAUAAACUUAAGAUCCUUGUCUUCCAUCAUUUUUUAAUUCUGUACUUUCCGAAUUAAUUAUUAAUGCUUUCCUGUUCUUUGUUUUUGGUACUGUACCAUUUGAAUGGGAGAAAAAAAAAGUAUAUCUGAAAUACUUUCUAGGAAAUUUAUUGUUAUUCUAGCAAUGUGAUUAAAAAAAAAUAAGAAAAUCUGCUUUUUCUUUUCUGCAGGUAUUUUGCUUAUGAAAUAGUAACUGGCACUUCAUAAUGAAAACCUUCAAGCAACGUGAACUCCUAACAGUAACAUACUUUUGUUAGCUUCUGUGUUCAAACAUCAGCUCCAAAAUCUUACAGAACACCAAGAAGUAUUCCCAUUAAAUGCAAUUUACCUGAAAUUAAUUGAUAAUUUCCAUGUCUCAUUGCCUUAAUUUUCUGGGUUUUGUCCAGUUCAUAACUCACAUUUUCACACUGCUUUUCAGUAUGUUUCUGAAGAACAUCACACAUUUUACAUGUUCUAUGCUGACAUGUAAAAUGUGUGGUAUUCUUCAGAAAUUGAUGACCUGCCACCUAGAGAGAAAUGUAUGUUUUAUUUAUACUCCUUGAACAUUUUUUUCCCCAAAGAUUCUUAAUUAUUUAUAUAAAUACUCAAACACAUUAUUCUGUCUUUAAAUUGUGUAACUAAUAUAAAUAGUUUCUGUAAAUAUGAUAAACUGUAGGCUCCUAAAAUUAUUAUCAAAGUUAAAUAUAGAUUCUGUCAUGCUUAAUUGAGGAUGAGGAUAGAUGAAACAUAGCCUUUUGAAGAGACUAGUUCACAAUCAACAAUAUAUUUACUUACUGAAAAGUCAUAUUUUGUCUAAGGAAUUAUAAAAAAAUAUUGUUUGCAAGCAUAUAUCUACCAAAAUAUAUAAUUAUUAUGUUUUCCUUAUGUACACAUUAGUCUUAUCACAUAAUUUUGAUAUGUUAAGUCUCUACUAUUUAUGAAAUAACCACAGAAAACCAUUUAACAACUCUGGGAACUCAAUUUUCAAUAAGAGAGUUCAGACAUUUUAGUGCUGUACUCUCAGUCAUUGCAGAAAGGUCACCCCAGGUGGUUCAGAUGACGCACAUGGCAAACAGGAAGGCAGGCAGAAAGUAGGUUUGAAGAUAAGAGAAAUAAUACCUCGUUAGUAAGUCUGAGUGGUGUAAAAAAGAAUACCUUAAAAAAUUAUUGUGCUAGACCUCUACCUAUCAAAAUUAUCUCCUGGUACACUGGUUCCUUUUUGGGGCUAUAGGAGAUGUGUUACCUCAGAGAAGGCUUUUUACAAAGGUUAGAAAAAAGGGAACUAUAGCAGCAUUACUACAAACCAGCAAUAAGUGGAGAUAUUGGCUGUGUGCGAUAUUACAGGGUAAUGGUCAGGGUGAAAAUAUAACAGCUGUGUUUUGCUUUGAAUGGAGGAGAUCUGAAAUGUAAAUAUAUAAAUAUUACUCAUUACAUUUCUGUUAAACUCUAAUGUGAAUUCUACAGGUGCCCUAGAGCCUUAUAACCAUCUGGGUACUAUGCUAUCUUGACAGACUAUGGACAGAAACAACAGUCCUGCCAAGAAAAAUAACUGAAAGCAAUCUGUGUUUCAUAAGCCUGAAAAAAUAGCAUAGCUUAUUUUACAAGUGCAAUCCUCAGUUCAUUAUAACAUUCUGUUGCUUGAUAAUAUUAUCUGACUCCAUGUAAAACAACCAGUUAAAGAAACUAGUUAGCAGCGCUGUGUACCUCAGCUUCAGGCAGUAAUUUGUCCUAGAAAUCAGAUAGAAACUGAUGUAAACUGAUAUGUGCACAACUGCGUCUCCUCCACUGGCCAUCCUUUCUACUCCCCAUCCCUUCUACUCCCCAUCCCUUGUCUCUGAAGAUCAGGUGCAGCAUGAUCCCUAUUUUCAUUUUCCCUAUGACUCAAAUUCAACUCUUCUAAACCGUUCUCAUUUUCAGGAAUGGAGUAUGUCCCUUAAGGCUGUCAGAUUAAUUUUUCCUAGGUAUAAACUGCCAUAGUUACACUGGUUCAGAGCUUGCUCCUCUUUAUUUCUUUUGCCUGUUUGUAUAUGACUGUUUGUUGUUACGGCCCUUCUGUCAUUUAAUCUCUACUGUUAUGAAAUCCAAGUAUCUCUGAAGGGCAUGUUAUUCUCUGCAAGCAACACAAGCUCAAGUUUUUUGGGUCUGCAAUGAGGUACAUCAUUAUUGAUUACAUUUUAUGCUAUCCUGUCUGUGUCUUGAUCCUUGGAAAUGCCCAGGAAAAUUAGAUCCCUGCCUAAAAACAAUUUUAAAAUAAAAAUCUUACAGAUAUUUCAGAAAACUAUAUCUGUUUUUACAGAGGGGACAGAGCCAGCCCCCUGAAAAGACAAUGACCAGACAUCUUUUAGAAUCAUAGCUAAUUCCACCAUGUACAAAUAAAAGCUUUUAAUUUUUCUUUGAAACUAUUUAAAUAAGAAAUUGUAACCAUGGAAAUUUAAUACCAGAUGUGUACAUUUUCAGGGUCUCCUUUGACUAUUUUUUACAUUUUCACUGCAUGUUUUUAUCGUGCUUCAAUAGGAAUUUUGGGUCCUAAAGAUUUGAGAGUAUCUCUUCAUUACAUAAUAAAGUCCCCACAGUCCUGCUAAAUUAAGUCACUAUGAAUUAUUCUACUUCAUUCUGUAGAUCAAGCCCAAGGCUCUGCUUACUCAUGUUUCUGAAAAUUAGAUGCAAUUUAUAACAAUGCCAAUCUUUUUAUCUUGUCAAAGUUUCCUUUUUAUAUAUACUACGUUUUACUUUGUGUUUUGCUUCCCAGCAUUAACACACCAUUACUUUUCCUUUUUACAUGCAGUUCACUUGGAGUGAAAAGCAGAGCACCUGGAAAGAAUGAAGCAAACAUAUUCUGAGCUGGAGCAGCACAGAUGUGCAAGAGGAAGAAACUGAAAUUUUAAAGUCCGUGUAAUUGCAGUUAAUAUACAAUGAACACCAUGACUACAAAGCAUAGUGCUGCUCUAAAACUUCCUUUUCUAAGAAUGCACCAGGACUAACUAAGAGGAAACCUCUGGGAAAUGGAAGCCUUUUGAGAAGAAUACCUCUAUCACCUUUACAACUACCAUUCAGGGGGAUGAACAACUCUUGUACUUUGAUAAGGCUGCUUCCGAAAAUUUCUGAGCACUUCUGAGUACCUUUGCCCUCCAGGACAGGCUCCCAUGGGAGUCCUAAUAGUCUCCUGAGCAAGAACUCUCCCAGGAGUUGAAUUCUGCACUUCCGAAGUCUAAGGUGUUUGUUUUGAUACUAUAAUUUUGAAAAAAAAACAACACUCUGAAAUAGAGUAAGAGGAAGUGUAUGUGUAUUUAUAUGUGUGUUUGUGUCUGUUUGUGAGAUUUAAACUAAUUUUGUUAUUUUGCUUAUGGUAUUAAUUACAUACACAUAAUAUGUACAAUUCACAGGGAUUUACCAAUACCUUUGAAUUCAAGUGUCUCAGGAAUUUAGGAUAAUGGAACACUCUCACCAAGAAUUAACUAUUGUGUUUAUUUGCUUCCACCCAAUGUAUGUCACUUUGGCUGUUUUUAUGAACAAAAAAUAUUCAAAGUCAAAAUAUUUUCCUGCUAAUAACAAUAUCUAAUUAAAGAAAUAAUAAAGAACAUUUCAUGGUUAAAGGAAUAAAGUUUCCACGUGUAAUUUUCAAGACAAUUGUUUUCUGUAGCCAUGAAUAUGGAUAAAACAGUAAAAGCUUGAAUAGUAUAAUAUGAAUUAGAACUAUUAUUCGAGAAAUUCAACUCAUCAUGGGGCGAAUGGCUCUAAAUGAGAUUCAUUUCAUCUCACUUGAGUCAUUUAAAGGUUGAGCAUGCAAUCCAAGUUAGAAGCCUAUACUUUCUCUAUAAUCAAUUGAAAGAGAGAAUGAGUGAGACUUCCAAAGAAUGAUUAAUUUGUCUUUAAACAGGCAUCUAUUAGAAGCAUGAUAAAUACUUCUCUGAAGAUGCUUUUUUCUGUAGUGUCUGUGGAGGAAAUUAGAUGAAAAGCAAAGAUGUUUAAUUCUGAGAUGCUUAACCUGAGGUGAAAUAAAUCUCAUUAUCUAUGUUAGCCCUUCAUGCACAAAUAUGUUGGAAGAGCGCAGCACAGAAAAUGUUUACUAGUAUACAUGAAUAACAGAAACUUGCAGACUGAAGCAAGCCAUGAAAACAACAAUGUGAUGAUACCUAGCAGGUAUAAUUUUCUUGAGAAAGACUUUGGCCAUUUUUUUUAAAUUAAAUUAGAUUUGACUGCAAAAUUUUUUAAACCUAGAUUAUUAGCAUCACUAACGAAGAUAUUCUACACAUGAACACUUCGCAACUUCUUUCCAAAUUUGUUUCAGAUUAGAAGUCCCUUUCUGUAGCUAAAUUAUGUUAUUCAAACCACCAUAUCUUAUCUUCCCUUUAAUAACUGUAGUCAUUCUCUUGACCUUGGAAUUUUCUUAAUUUUUGCUGCGAACAAUAGAAAAAAAAAAAAGGCAAGCAGUUAUUGCAACCAUUGCCUGUAUCCAUUGUCCUGCUUACAUUAUAUAUCUUUUUAGGCAGUACACUAGUCCUCAUCCUUUUUUUUUUGUCCAUAAACUUUUGGUCUUAACUUCAGUCUUUAGAGUUUGAUACCUUUGCUGUGAUCUUAUAAAUUUCCAUUCCCUGUUAUUCACUGAUUAUGUUGUCAUACUCCACUCUCUUACAUCCAGUUUUCCAAGACUCUGCCUUUAAGCUAUUUUUCCCAUUACACAGGUACAUUUUAAGAAAUAAAUAACUAAUUAUAAUGGACAAAAUUUAAUGAAGGAGUUAAUUACUCUCAUAAAAGGAACAGGAUAAUUUGUUUACUUUUAUAACUAUUAGAUGUUAUACUAGAACCCUGACUCUUUUAUAAAACUAUUUAUUAUUGUGCAUGAAAAUAGAAUAAAGAUCCCAAGUAGAGCACUCAGUUUCUUAUCAUUGUCCAGCCAAGCAGCAGAAAGCUUUCAUAGAAAGCAGAUAUCUACAUAAAUGAGUUCAAACUCUUCCAUCUGAAACAACAAAUAUAUGUCACCAAAUUCAAAAGAGUUUCAGCAAACACACCCCUUCCUAGCUAAGCAUAUAUCUGCCUGUAGAGAAGAUGAAGAGAGAAAUGAAAAUAAACAAACAACAAAAAAAAAGGUUUCUUAAAAGUUUCACCAAGGAAGGAAGCAAUAUAUCUCGCAAUCAGAUAAACUCAUGUAUCAAUAAAACAAGAGACUACUCAUGUGUUCCCUGUUAAAAACUGGAGGAGCAUAAGUAUUCUGCUUGAAUAUUUGGAACUGGACUGUGGACUUGAUGACCUGCAGAAAUCCGCAAGAGAUUUUUUUUUUUUUCUCUUGUGUUAUUAUUUUGGCAUUUGAACUCUGUAUUUAUCCCAAAACAAAUGAUAGGAAAAAAAAUCUUCAAAAGUAUCACUGAGUCUAAGGAUAUAUAAUAUCAGAAAAGGGAGGAAUCUGUCAGAAAAAAAUAAUAAAUGAAAUAAUUUUAAAUUUUGCUGAUUUUUUUUGCUUGUAAGAAUCAAUAAAUAUGACUAAAAAAUGAGGUAUUAUUCAUUAAGAUGAACUAUUUCAGCAAGCCACACUUCCUAAUCCAAAAGGCAUAUUAUAGUGAUGUUUUAUUUAUUUUCUUGAAACAAAAAGACAAUAGAGACAAACAGAUACUGUGAGAAUCUAUUUUUAGACACCAGUGGCACCUUCUCAUUGCCUAAGAAUGAAUUUUAAAUAGAUUAGCUCAAAUUUUUGUGUCUCAGAUAGUAGAAAUUCUCAGUUGGAUUCAAUGAAUUUCAUUGAAUUCAUCACUUUUUAACAGAAACACAGUACUAUGCAUGAAAUGCAUUCACAUUUUUCAGAGUAACGUAGGUAAUUCUUCAAGCCAAAUAAAAUGGGGUAACAAGGGAAAAUAGUUAUGUCAUGUCUCUUGCAAGGCAAGCCAGAAAAAUAUUUUUCGUAUACCAUAUGCUGGAUUACUGACAUCUUUUAUCUACAGGUCUGCUAUCAUGAUGAAAGCUAAUAAUUUUUGUAGGGGUGUUAAGUACCUGUGACUUGCUUUUCACUACUUUAUGUAAGCCAUCUUUAACACCUAUCACUUCAGUGACCCAAAUAUACAAGGCAUGUAGUUUAUUUCAGAUACAAUCUUGGCAAGUCAGAUUCUUAGUUUGGUUCAGAGAAGUCUUGAGACUUGAUGUGUCAUGCUGAUAGGUGGCAUUGAGAUGGUCCUUUCCUAAUGUAACAUAGCAGCUUUCCUAUAAAAUAAUAAUGGAGAUAUUCCCCACAAAACUCCUGAGCAAUACAACAUCCUUGUCAUGCUGUCUUCCUCCUAAAUUGAUGUAGAACACUACUUUGUACAUAGUUUUUAGUAAUACCUCUGCCUACCCUGCAUUAAUUAUUCUGUACUGAGAAGCAGCGUAAGUACCAGCAGGUACUAUUAACUGAUACACUGAGCUUGCUAACAAUUCUGGUAUCAGGAGAGUGAACUUGCUGCAUCUUAAUUUUCAUUUGGCACUUGAAACUAGUAUGAUACUUCUAGGAAGAGUAACUGAUUUGCUAGUUCUAGGCCAUAUUCCUGACAAACUGGUACACUCUUGGCUGCUAUUAUCAUUACUGCUUGGAUAUAUAAUACAUUGAUAUUGAUCACAGAGGUAAAUACUUUCACACUGAUAAUGCAGGUGAAGACAGAAGAGCUUGUUAUACAGUAUAUUUUUGCCAGCUGCACAGGGGAUGCACCAACUUUGAGUAGCACAACUUAGUGGUAGUGAACUAUACACUCGAUAGUGCCAGGGGUUCAAUAAACUUUGACCACUGUCAUUACAUGAGUUUUUAAAGAGGAAUUUGACUGAUCGGUUUGUUUGUAUAGGUGCUAUAAGUGGUACAGCUUUUCAAUGUGCAUCAUUGAUGCCAAUAUGAAAACACAGUGUAAAAUUUCACAUUUCAUUCUGGUAUAGGGUAGUUCUAUCUCAACUUCACCAGCUAUGAAAAGAUCUGUACUUUUUUGCUACCUGAUGUUUUAUACAAAGCUUUGGCUGGAACCUGAACUGGCACAAAUGCAUGCUCUCUGGAGGAUCUUAAUUUGAGGGCAGCUGGUUCAGCUAC